GUCUAUGGCCAUACCACCCUGAACGCAGCUGAUCUCAUAAGCUAAGCAGGGUUGGGCCUGGUUAUUACUUGGAUGGGAAGAAUCAUGGGACCACAUACU
rnacentral:rRNA from 1 species